UGAAGCGCGUGCGUGGCCAUCAGAUCUGCCACCUUAAUUCAUGAGGGAGAUCUUAUGGCCCUCGUUUUUUCCAAUUUAUUUUUAUUUUUUUAUUUUCAUUUAAUUGCUUUAUUUUGUUUAAUUCAUAGAAAUUUCAUUUUUAAUCCAAAAAAUAUGGGACAUUCACUAAAAAUAUUUAAAUAUUUUUUUCUUCCAUAUUCUGAAUUUAAAUUAUUUUUUGGAUUAAUUUUGAUAUUUUUCAUGAAUUAAAUGUUUUUAUGCAUAUUUUUAAUUGUUU
rnacentral:lncRNA from 1 species